AUCGCGCCUUCUCGGCUUCACCUGCAAAAAGCCCGCUCGCUCUCUCCACGGCGCUCGCUCUCGCCCCCAAGCUCACCGUCACCGUCGCCCCGGAUUGAUCCGCCGUUCUCGUCGCUCCGGGAGCGGUCCGCCACUUCGUAUCCGAAACUCCAGCGGACCACGUGCCCGUCCGCCUUCCCGCUGGGGCCUGAAGCCAACGCCAACGCCAACGCCGCCGCUGGCCGCACCAUCCCCGCCUGAAGCCCACAUUAUUCAUCUCUCGCUCGCGUCGCCGCCGCCCCGCCCCUCCUCGAUCCCUUCCAGCCUCAAACCCUAAUCCCUCUCCCACUCCCGUCGCUCGUCGCCGCCCCACCUUCGCGCUCGUCGACGCAAGCGCUCGUCGCCGCCCGGCCUGCGCGCUCGUCGACACAAGCAGGGGAGAUGGCGGACUCGUCAGAGGACGAGAUUGCGGAGGAGAUCGCCGCCACAACUGUUGCCGAGGUUGUCGCGGCGAGAAUUGAGGUGAAGUUGUGUACACUGGUCGCACCGGCGGGCGCGGGAGGGGCAAGAAAGCGGCGGAUAGUUCGAGAAGGUGAGGAGAUUGAGGACGAAGAUGUGGUUUCGCUGGGGCAAGUCAAUGCUGCAAUCGCGGAAGGCGGCGCCGAGGGGACUGCCGCGCUUGAGAAUCAUCUCAAGGCAUCGACCCGGCGCACUUUCCUGACCUGCGGCGCUCAGGUUGAUAUGGCGAGCAGACAGGAGGCCGCUGCCGCUGGAGCAGCCGCGGGCGUCAGCACAGCCAUCCGGAUCCCCUCCCCUGCAGGAGCCUCUGACCAGGUUGUGGAGGCAGUGUUGUAGUCAGUUUUUUGGAGCAAUUGUUGCACUUUAGCAUCAGUACCAUAACUGCGUUAUAUAUCUUCUAUCCAGCCACUUUAUUUUCCUUGCCUUUCUUGUACUCCACCACAUAAUCAAAUUCCAUGAGUUUCAACAGUAAUUUGUGCCGAAUUCCCUCUAUGAGUUUUGGCUAGUGAUGUACUUCAGGCUUUCUUGAUCAGUCUUGAUGAUUCCUCCAUCUUCUUAGUGCUUCCAGAAUUGCCAUAGCUUCCUUGUCACACACAGAAGGUGCUGAACCUUUGGGACCCUGGGAUUUGCUUUAAUAAGCUAUUGGUCUUCCUUGUUGCAUUAAAACUCCUCCCAAAGCACUGCCACUGGCAUCAGUUUGGAUAGUGAAUGGUAAGGAAAAAUUAGGUAAAGCCAGAACUGGGUCAGUAGUCAUUAACUGUUUGAGAUGCUUAAAAGCCUGAGUUUGAAUAUUAGUCCACUGUAAUGAAUCUUUCUUUAACAAAUCAUGAAAUGGUCUGCAAAUGGCACCAUUCCCUUUUAUAAAUCUCCUAUAAUACGCAGUCAUACCAAGAAAACCCUUCAGUUUGGUGAUAUUCUUUGGAAUCUGCCACUUCAGGAUAUCUUGGAAACUUGGAUCUUCUAUGGAGAAGUGGCUACUCCAUCCCAAGAGAUGAUGUGUCCUAGAUAUUCCACCUUGUUGACAGCAAACACACUCUUGCUUUGCUUAGCUUUCAGUUGGUUCUGUCUGAUAGUUUCUACAACUGCCUGAAGGUUCUUGACUCUGAUGAUUGCUUAUCCGCGGCACGCGCGGGAGCUCAGGCGGAAUCAAAGGUGGGGCGCGGCAUGCCUGUUGCACCAGUUGCACCUUCGUCGAGAUACACUACGUUGCUAGGGCCCCUGGUAGGUGGAUCUUUGCCUGCCUCUGUCACGCUUUACAGUUUGUUGAGGACCUCUAGUGUUCGGGUGAGGCUAUUCCUUUUUGGCCUUUUCAUAGUUGGAGUUUUUUUUGCUUCUUCGGGCUACGCCGUUAGCUCGUUCUUGUCCUCUCCUUGUUCUUUGCAAUAUACUAAAUUUGCGACUCUUAGCACUUUCAUCAUAUUGUAUACUUUUCUUGUCAUUGGUAUGAUCACACUCGGUACUUCUAAGUGAUUGUUUUUUGGAGGCCUGGAGUAGUGGCCGUGUUUUCGUUGUUAGCACUUGGUAUACCUAGGUGGUAGUGAUAGAUAUAUACAUUUAGUUGUAUACAUGUAUGACAUUUCAAUAUUAGAUAUUUGAGAUCAUCAUGCCCAACUGGGAUCAAUGUGCAUUAUAUGUCUGAGUAAACUACAUGAUGUGGUACCGAUAUAUACAUUUAGUUGUCUACAUGUAUGACAUUUCAAUAUUAGAUAUUUGAGAUCUUCAUGUCCAAUCGGGAUCAACGUGCAUUAUAUCUCUGAGUAAACUACAUGAUGUGAUGUUGUGUAUUUGAUUAAUAACUUUGUAUAUGUCGACUUGGUUCAAUAUGAUGUGAUCAAGUUAGAUAUAUUUGAUUUUUCUCUUGUCAAUAACAUGAACAUGGUGCAUGUAGAAUCCUCAACAUGCUAUACACAUAUACAGGGCCACAUGGGAAAUAUCUAACACCCCAAUAACAACCCAAAGCACUAAACACUCCUCCAAGAUGAACGAUAUGCAUCCAUAUAUCCACAUUGAAACUUCUUAUAGAGAUCUUAUCACAACAAGAAAGUUGAAACACCCGUAUAUAAGUCUUUAAUAAUUGUUAACUUACUAUUAUUGUAUUUCUAUUUUGCUUUACUGGAUUUAAAGCUAAUUUAAGAUCAUUUAAGAAUUAGUUUGUGAUUUAUUUUGGUUUAUUAAGUCACUUUACAAAUUUUCUCCGACUUGAAACAAACUUCUCUUAACCUGGUUUCUAACUAAACUAGAUUGGGCUUCUUGUUUUGGAGAUUUGAGUGCUAGCUGUCUUGAUAAGUGGAAUCUACCUCUAGAUCUAGAGAUUGAUGGUUGUGGACAAGGAAGGAUUGGUUAGGGUGCGUUUGGUUGCCUGUGCGUCCUCACCCUGCAUUCCAUCUUGCAUCCUGGUUGAGUCUAGCCUGGGUAUCUCAUCUCCCUCUUCACCCAUAUCUCUUUCCUCUGCUCUUCUCUCCACCAAAUCCUCCACAGUCCACACCGACCCACCAAAUCCGCCUCGCUCUGACGAUCUCACGGCACUCAUGCCACUCUCUGAGGAGGGGGUCAUCGGCGGGUUGCGAUGGCUUGCGAUGAGGAGGAUUCGGCAUCACGGAGGAGCUAGGGGGAGCGAUUCGGCGAAUGCAGACGAGCUCGGUGGGCGGGAUUACGCCGGUCGUGGAGGAGCUCGGGGGCGAGAUUGAGGAGGCGGUGUCAGUGGCGAGAUCGAGGAGGCGAUGCUGCCAUGGAGGAGCGGCGUCGGGCGCAGGUGUUGAGACUGAUUUGGAGGUGUGUGUCGGGCGGAGGUGUAGCUAGGGGGUUUUCACCUUCUAAAAGUUGAACUUCAGACACACCUUCUUUUUUCUGUCGUUUUGGUCCGUUUCGUCGCGGGCCGGACAGAAAAAGGCCCCAUUCUGGCCUUCGUCCGUUCGGGUCGAGCAAUGCAUCCAACGGGAGACACAAACUGGGAAUAAAAUAAACACAUUUGGGAAGAAGACAACAUGAACCCUAAAUAGAUUUGCUUCAUUUCAUUGCUAAACAUGAACCAUCAACUAGAUACAAAUUGCUACUGAUCGUCCUCGUAGACCAGGGGGCUAAGAUAGUCAUACCUGAGUGGGUUGUGAACCAUUUUGAAAAUUUACUGAUCGUCCUCGUCCACGCGGGGGAGGCACCUCCAGCGGCUCGGUGACGGAGUAUGGAGGAGCGGCGCCAACCCCUUGUCCACAAGCCACACCCACUGGUUAAGCUCGAACGCAUGGUCCGUUGCGAACCCCCGCACGAGCUCCGCGUCGUCCAUGGGGCCGUGCUCCUCAGAGGCCUCGCACGCGAAGAAGAUGAGGCGCUGCUCCUCUUCUUCAUCGGCCUUAGGAACCCGGAAGCAGGAUCCAGGGAGAUGCGGUGCUGCUGCAGGAGGGGCCGGCGUUUCCUCCUCAAUCUCCAUUGUCUCUAGCUCCGGCGCCGCCUCUUCUUCCUCAUGCUCCAUCUUGGGCACCCAGAGCGCGCCGCCACCGUGCCUCGGGGCAAGCCUAGUGCGACGCCCGUCGGAUUGACCGACUGGGAAAGCUCCCCAGCCGAGAUGGGCGCUUCCACGACGGCCGACACACACGUUCGUCGAGAACGCGGACUGAGGAGACGCCGGCGGAUCCAUGUUGCCGGCAGGAAGCUAGGGUUUCGGGGAGCGAGUGGGUGUGUGAGGUGGGGGUGGGGAAAUGGGGUCGACGCGGUCCCAUUAAAAAGGACCGGGUGGGUGGGUGGGUUGUUGGAUCGGUGGCAGGUGGCCCCGGGAAUGCGAAAAGAGUGGAAUCGUUCUGCCCUAGGCGGACGAACGGGCCGCGUGGCCGUCCGUUUCUCUGUCCGUGGAGACGCAAACCCGGCCCAGAUUUGGGGCCUGAAUGGGUCGCGCCUGAGCAAAAAGCGGACGGGCGCGGAAAUGCGUCGCCCCGCUGGACUGCGGUUUCGUCCGUUUCGGCCCGCGUCCCAAAUGGGUCGCCCUGCUGGAGUUGCCCUCAUACACAAAAUAUGAAGCUAUAUUUAUUCUUCUCAAUGUAGUACAAACUUCGUUUUGUUACAAAGGGGAUACAUCCUUAUAGGCUAUUUACUGAACAAUAAGUCGGUUAAUGUUCACAGAGCUAUUCAAAACUGACUUGAAUACUAUUACUUCUACUUAUUGUAAAACUCCAACGUACCAUGGAUACUUCAUGACUAAGCUAGCUCCAUGUAACAAUCAGUUGUAUUUACUUAGAUAUCACAACUGUCCUAUGAUGACAAGAUUACUCCUAACAAUCUCCCCCUUAAUCUUGUCAUAUCAACUAGAUCCACUAAUCCAGAUCACCUGGGCCAUGUGCUUCAUCUUGUGAUAGCCUCACACCGCCUCAUGUCUAGCAUCGGCAUCACACCAUGCUUGUCAACCUCACACUGACUCCAUAUCUUCACACCACCGUUCCGGUUUCACACCAACCUUUCUACUCACAAUGGCAUCACACCAUAUUGGUCGGCCUCACGUCGAAGCCUGCAGACGGUCUCCAAAAGCAUCACACCGCUGGACGUGCACUUUCACCACCCCUCUCUGGACGCUCAUAAGCAUAGUGUUCAAAAUUAGAACAGUUGUAGUACACUUCAGCUCGGACUUAUCCCAACCACGUCCGCAACCAUGGCCUUGACCUCCACCACGCCCUCAUCCUCGUGAUGAGUUCUCAGCCUUGUGUCUCUCCUUCCACUCUGCACGGGUCAGCACAUUGACCUCCACCACGCCCUCAUCCUCGUGAUGAGUUCUCAGCCUUGUGUCUCUCCUUCCACUCUGCACGGGUCAGCAGCAAGUGCUCCUCAUCAACAUCACCACUUCCUCGUAGGCGCUCUUCGUGUGCCUUCAAUCGCCCAAUGACCUCUUCCAUCGUCAUGGUCUUGUGAUCACCAAAUUGUUCGAUGGUUGAAGCAAUCUGGAGAAACUUGUUGGGGACAGCACGAAGGAACUUCUUGACGGCAGCGUUUGGCGCCUUUUCAUUGUUAGCACUUGUUAGAUAUAUCUGAGAUCUUCUCGACAGUUUUUGGCGUGUUUUCUUUGUUAGCACUUGCUAUACUGUAGGGGCCAUGUUUUCUUUCUUAGCACUUGCUAUACCGCGUUGUCCGCUGUCAAGCUGUCCAGCUCUCACAUUGCGUCGCAGUCGAGCUACUGCCUCUCUCUUCAUGUACACGCCACUUCCGAUCGAGGACACAGAUUGAAGACCUUUGGUUGUCGUAACCAAUAAAUCAAUUGCGGCAGACACCCCCCCCCCCCCCCCCCUCCAUCAGACAAACAAGGAAUAUUACCAGGCUAAGGACAGUCCAAAUACGUAACUAACUGAGAUGCAUUAAAAGAGUUGCACCCAUUUUGUAAACUUUAUGCUCAGUGUGCUCUAACGGAUGUUGAUUCUCAUGAUUUUUAUAGAUUGAAUGCCAUACCAAGUUGGGUGCCACAGAUGGGAAUGAAAUUCAGCACAUUUGACGAAGCAUGGAACUUUUGGGUGUAUUACGGGGCAAAAUUGGAUUUGGUGCCAGAAAGCGAUACUAAAACCCAAGUAUUUUUUGUUUUACGGAGGAGGAUGCAAGUGUCGAUGAAUCAAAUAUUCAAGCUGUCAGGAGAACUCAUAUAAUGCAGAAUGCCGUCAAGCAUUUAUCUUGUCACAUGAAGGAGGAGGAUGAAAGUGUCGAUGAAUCAAAUAUUCUUGCAGACAUUUGAGGAAGCUUUUGACACAAUGAGAGCUAAAGUAGAAAAGCAAACUUGGUUUGAUAGAAUCUAUAAGGUCAAAAUGAAUGUUCCCAUGUUGGUCCAAGCAAGCCAGGUUUACACGCCUAUCAUAUUUGAAAGUUCCCAAGCAGAAUUUGAGAGAUCGAUAACAGCAUGCACCAACAGAAUGGACGUGGGCUAUGAAUACAAUUGGUAGUCCAACCUUUGGAGAUGAAGCAAAGUUUUUAGUAAUCCUUCUCAACAAACAGCUUACUGCACUUGUGAACAAUUUGAGAGAAUUGGAAUAUUGUGCGCCCAUGCUCUAAAAGUUCUUGAUUUGAUGAAUAUCAAGUUAUUGCCGGUACAUUAUAUUUUGAAGUGAUGGAAUCGACAAGCACGGUGUGGAAUUAUUCAGGACAAAAGUUGGAGGGGCGUUGUUGAAAAUCCAAUCUUGGCUGCUGUUGUCCGCUACAAAUUUCCCUAUCAAAAAUUUGUCAAUUUGGUCACUCAAGCAGCUAGGUCCGAACAAUGUUGUUCCUAAAUUGAAAAUGCACUUUAUGGCCUUAGUAAGGAAGUUGAAGGCCGAAGAAAAACUUGCCCGUGAAAGUAACCAUAACAAGGAAUGUGUUACUCAAGUGAUACAUGCAGAAUCAAAUGAGCUUUUAGCAGGUGCACGCCUAAAGAAAAAAUCCCACAAGUAUAAAGAACUAAAAAGAGAAAGCUGAGUUGGAUUGACAAACAACGUAGAAACAGGAAGAAAGGGGAUCCAAAGAAAGGACCAACUAAAGCAAGAAAGCAAAAUAAUCACCUAAGCAACUAGAAGAUGAGAUCACAGCAACACAAACUCACUGCAUAGAAGAGGAUGUUUAUUGGAGCAAUCAGAACGAUGCUCAAAAUUAUGGAUUCAGCAAGUGUUACAGUGAACCCAGUUUUACUGAACUGUUGAUGAGUUGUAGAAUCGAGGACAUUGAAGUCUUUUGCACAGAAGACAUCUAAGGGGAGAAGACAUUUUUUGAUCAUGGACAAAUGAAAUAGAUACAGUGUGGGAGUCCAUGUAGUAGCAGUUCUCUGAUUUUCGAAAAAGUAGUACACUAGUUCUCUGACACAAACGUGUGAUGUGUGUUUACUGUUCUGGUCUUUUGGGAUUUAGAGCAGCGGUAAGAUUACUCUCUCAGUAUGCAUGAUUGAAUGAUCCAGUGCAAAAAUUGCCAUACCAAUUUAAUUGCAAUAGCAAUGCUCUUUUCAGAUGUAAGAGAUUUUACUAUUUAAACAGGUCAAUGCUAUUUUCAGAUUGUGCUUUCAACAGCUGAA